rnacentral:misc_RNA from 1 species
AACAUCGCGCACCUGCGGGAACCUGCGGAGGGAUCAUUAGCGAGACUUAGUGCUCCAACCCCUGUGAACAUACCAUUGCGGCGUUGUUUCGGCGGUCGGCUGGCGGACUAUCUGUCCGCUAGCUUCUGCCUGGCCAGCAGGCCCGCCGGCAGCGUCAAACUCCAAAUUUUUAGUGGAAGUCUUUCUGAGUGGACAAAGCAAACAAGCAAAACUUUUAGCAAUGGAUCUCAGAUCGGAAGA